ACUAGCGCGGCGGCCGCCGGCCCGCAAUGGUGCUACCCUGGUUGCUGCUCGAGACUGCGCGCAGGGCGGUCCUCGGGUCCGCGGAGGCUGCGCUCUGCGCACCAACUUUUAUCUGUGGAUGCAGCUACAGGGACCCAGCAUUAACACAGCUUACCCCCAGCCCCACCUACCUAUUUUAACUGUUGCCAUGAAAAUGACAGAUGAAAAUAGAAAAGUGUGGCUGGUCUGAAGUGGAUGAAGUAGGUGAAGCUCUACAGAUGAAUCCAAGAGACUUCAAAGAGAAGUACAAUGAAGUAAAACCAUCCAAAUCUGACAGCUAGUGUUUUCUUAUUUAGCCGGAGUGAGAAGCAAGAAGGCCCUGGACACAGCAAUAUCUCUGGGCUUUCACAGGUGUGUAGAUGAAUGAAAAAAUGGAUUGAUAAAUGUAUAAUCCAAUGUUUCAUAUAUAUUACAUUUUUAUAUGUCUAUUUAAGAAUUUCUUGUAAUUACUGUCAGUAAAGGCAGGAUAGCAAAACUAAGAGCCUCUUUUCAUCUUACUCAAUUUAGAGAUAAUAGCGGCCAGGCGUGGUGGCUCACGCCUGUAAUCCCAGCACUUUGGGAGGCCGAGGCAGGUGGAUCACGAGGUCAGGAGAUCAAGACCACCCUGGCCAACAUGGUGAAACCCUGUCACUACUAAAAAUACAAAAAUUAGCUGGGCAUGGUGGCACACUCCUGUAGUCCCAGCUACUUGGAAGGCUAAGGCAGGAGAAUCGCUUGAACCUGGGAAGCGGAGGUUGCAGUGAGCCGAGAUCGCACCACUGCACUCCGAUCUGGCAACAGAGUGAGACUCCAUCUCAAAAAAAAAAUGUUUAUAGCACUAUUUGAUGUAUGUUUUCAGUGCUUAACACUAUGCCAGAGGAUGGAAAGAAUGGGUAACCUGUGAAUUUUCAGAGAAGAAACAAGGAAAUUGAAUUUUUGGAAUACAAGUUGGCUCUUUCCUUGUGUACAUGCAGCCUAGGAUAGUGGAAUGAGCAAAAUAUUAAAAAUCUAGUCCUGGCACCACUGGUUAUGGUAAGGGGAUUUUUGUAUAAGUCAAUUAGUUGUUGAAUCAUUUUCUCAUCUGUAAAUUGAAAAUGGCACUCUCCCCUGAGAUAAUGCAUGUUACUUGCCAUGGAAAUAUAAGGGUCAGGAUUCUAUGAAUUAAUUUUUAAGUAGCUUAGUAUCAUUCAAUAGUAUUCUAAAAUACCAGGUUACUUAUACUACCUACUCAUGUAUGACAUUUGUGUUAGUAUACCUUCUAUUCAUCAAAGGGGCUAUGAGCUAGACCUGCAGAUUAACACGCAGAUGUGGCCUUAAAAAAAAAUCAGUUAAUCUGGGAUCCAGAGAAGUAGGUGAAAUUUGAACAAUGAAAAUACAUUAACAGCUUCUAAAGAUUUAUAGCAGUAUUAUGACCAGCAUGGUAGUGAUGAAAUUUGCAAUUUAAAAAAUUAAAAUUGGGCCAGUUGUGGUGGCUCAUGCCUAUAAUCCCAGCACUUUGGGAGGCCGAGGAGGGUGGAUCAUGAGGUCAGGAGAUCAAGACCAUCCUGGCCAACAUGGUGAAACCACCCCCCGUCUCUACUAAAAUACAAAAAAUCAGCCAGGCAUGGUGGCGGGUGCCUGUAGUCCCAGCUACUCGGGAGGCUGAAGCAGGAGAAUCAUUUGAAUCCGGGAGGCGGAGGUUGCAGUGAGCCAAGAUUGCAUUACUGCACUCCAGCCUGGUGACAGUGUGAGACUCCGUCUCACACACACACACACACACACACAAAAUAAAUAAAUAAAAUAAAAAUUAUUAGUAUGGGGAUAAUCAGAACAGUGGUUGCUGUUCUAGAGGGAAGAAGAUUAACUGGAAAAGGCAAGGAGGGUGGCUCAGGCCUAUAAUCCCAGAACUUUGGGAUGCCUAGGCAGGCAGAUCGCUUGAGCUCAGGAGUUCAAGACCAACCCGGGCAACAUGGUGAAACCCAGUCUCUACAAAAAAAAUACAAAAAAUUAGCCAGGCAUGGUGGCACGUGCCUGUGGUCCCAGCCACUUGGGGGGCUAAAGCAGGAGGAUCCCUUAAACACUGGAAGAUCACACCACUGCACUCCAGCCUGGGUGACAGAGUGAGACCCUGUCUCAGAACAACAACAACAACAAAAUUGAAAAACAAAAAAACAAACAAAAAAGGCAAGGAGAGAACUUUCUAGGGUGAUGGAAAUGUUCUGUAUCUUGACUGAGGUAUUGGUACAUAGGUAUAUACAUUUGUCAAAACACAUUAAACACUUAAAUGUACAUUUUUGGUAAGUGAUUAUACCUCAGUUUAAAAAUAAUGAAAACAGAAAUGCCUAAAUGUAAAUGACUCCCACUAGCAUGGGUAUAUUCCUUUGGAAUGUUAAGUCCUACACUUAAUUAGUGUGCUAAUGCACUGGUGGCAAAAUAAACCUGUUUUCUCUUGUCUGUGCCUCUUUAGACCCAUGUAGUGUAUUUUUAGACUCACUCAUGCAGUCAUUCUUGUAGUACCUAUAAGGACAAUGUCAGAAAUAUAUAUAUUUCUGUCAGUGUGUGUGUGUGUAUAUAUACACAUAUAUGUGUGUGUAUAUAUACACAUAUAUACAUAUGUAUACAUAUACAUAUACAUAUAUACACACACACAUAUAUGAAGGCAAGGAGAGAACUUUCUAGGGUGAUGGAAAUGUUCUGUAUCUUGACUGAGGUCAAGAUAUAUAUAUAUACACACACACACACAUACACAUAUAUAAGAGCCAUAAUCUCAGGGAGAAGGAAAGUUGUAGACAAUGAACCAACAUUGAAGUACUGGGCCCAUCAAGGAACAGGAUUGUGGGUAAAUACAUCAGGCUUUUAGUCGGAAUCCUGAAAAGGCUAUGCCCUAGAAGUAGAGUUGAACCAGAAAUUCACAACCCCCACAAGAACUCAAAACAAGCUUUGAAUCAAUUAAAUCCCUGAAUGAAUUAAGGUGAUCUUCCUAAUAUCUUAAGGGCCUACCAGAAGUAAAUCCUCUCUAGAGAAAGAUACCAUUAUCUAGCUAGAACAGAGGUUGGCAAUAAUCAAUCUUUUAGUCUUGUGGCCAAUUAGGUUUCUGUUGCAACUGCUCAACUCUGCUGUUGCAGCACAAAAGCAGCCACAGACAAUAUAUAAUGUGACUAUUCCAGUAACUCUACUUAUGGCCACUUAGGUUUGAAUUUUAUGUUUCAUGUGUUGCCAAAUAUUAUUCUUCAUUUGAUUAUUUUUCAAUCAUUUAAACAUACAGCAAACAUUCUUAAAGCCAGACAAAAACAGGUAGCAGGUCAGAUUUGGUCCAUGGGGCAUAAUUUGUAGAUCCCUGAGCUACAGCCACAAAUUUUCCUUACAAUUUUUCACAUACAAUUUCACCUUACAAUUUUCACAUACAAUUUCAGGUAUUCUAUCAAAAAUUAAUAGGCACGGCAGUCAAUAGGACCUUAUGAUUGAGAAAUAAUGGAAAAACAAGACAAGAGAAACAAAUCCACAGAAGAUCUACAGAUUGGAGUUUUCAGACACAGACUUUAAAAUAACUGUGAUUAAUAUAUUCAGUAACUUAGAUAACAAAAUUACAGUAACUGAAAUUAAACACCCAAUAGAAGGUAGAUAGGUUUAAUGGCCAAUUAGACACACCUGAUGACAGGAUUAGUGAAAAUGGAAAAAUCAGAGGUACAUGUAUUAACAUGGAUGACUCUUACAAUGUUGAGGGAAAAAAGCAAAUUACAGAAACAUAUACUGUAUAGUUUUUGUUUGUUUGUUUGUUUUUUAAGACAAGCUUUUUCACUGUUACCCAGGCUGAAAUGCAGUGGCAAGAUCACAGCUCAUUGCAACCUAUACCUCCUGGGCUGAAGCAAUCCUCCCACCUCAGCCUCCAGAAUAGCUGGGACUACAGGCACGCACCACCACACCUGGAUAGUUUUUUCACUUUCUGUAGAGACAGGGUCUCGCUAUGUUGCCCAGGUUAGUCUCGAACUCCUAGCCUCAACUGAUCCUACUGCUUCUGCCUCCCAAAGCACUGGAAUUACAGGCAUGAGACACCAUGCCUGGCCAGUAUAGUUUUUAAACAUACAAAAUAUAUUAUUAUUUAGGCAUAUGGACAUAUAUAGUGUAAGUAUAAAUAAAUUAUAAAAAUAUCUACUUCUGAAUGGUUUCUAAUGGGGGAAGGGAGACGAACACAAUAGGCUUUAACAGUAUUGUUGACAAUUUUAUUUAAUAUGUUUGGUAGGUAAGCACUUAUUUUUACCUUUUGUAUGCAUGGGACAGGGACUGUUGUCCCCACUUGGCUACACUUGAACAAGACUAUAUACCUUUGGAUUCCUGGUACCCUUUUUUUUUUUUUUUUAAGAAAAAAACUUGAUAAUGUAUUCUAUUUACCCAAAUAAACAAAGGGUUAAUAAAUUAGAAUAAUGUAUCUUCUAUAUUAGAUCGAACUUAGAAAGACAAUUUUAGUUGUCAUUCUGAUACAAAGAUUUAACAAAUUUUAUGUGUGUAUAUACAUAUAUAUAUAUAUAUAUAUAUAUAUAUAUAUAUAUAUAUAUAUAUAUAUAUGGUUUUUUUUUUUUUUUUUUUUUUUGAGACGGAGUCUCACUCUGCUGCCCAGGCUGAAGUGCAGUGGCAUGAUCUUGGCUCACUGCAAGCUCCACCUCCUGGGUUGACACCAGUCUCCUGCCUCAGCCUCCCGAGUAGCUGGGAUUACAGGCACCCGCCACCAUGCCUAGAUAAUUUUUUUUGUAUUUUUAGUAGAGACAGGGUUUCACCGUGUUAGCCAGGAUAGUCACGAUCUCCUGACCUUGUGAUCUACCCACCUCAGCCUCCCAAAGUGCUGGGAUUACAGGCGUGAGCCACCACACCCAGCCUUUUUUUUUUUUUUUUUUUUUUUUGAGAUAGGGUCUCGCUCUUUCUCCCAGGGUGGAGUGCAGUGGUGCUAUCUCCGCUCACUGCAACCUCUGCUUCUGGACAAAUUAUACUUUUUAAACUGCACUGACUUAUACAACAGUCUUUUUUUUUUUUUUUUUAAGACAGGGUCUCACUCUGUCUCCUGGCUGGAGUGCAGUGGCAUGAUCACAGCUCACUGCAGCUUGACUUCCUGGGAAGCUCACCUGAGUAGCUAGGACAACAGGCACAUACCACCACAGCCAGCUAAUUUUUCUAUUUUUUGUAGAAGUGGGGUUUCACCAUGUUUCCCAGGCUGGUCUCAAACUCCUGGGUUCAAGUAAUCACCCUGCCUUGGCCUCCCAAAGUGUUGGGACUACAGGCGUGAGCCACAGCACCUGGCCUUAUGCCAACAAAACUCUUAUGAGUAAAACCAUUAUUAAGGUCUGUAGUAUCAGAGACCUCAAAAUGUGAAUAUACAGCAUAUGAUUUACUACAUCAUUUAAUAAAUGUCUGUUUAUUUCAGUAAUGGGAGAAUAUCACUUUUACUUUGAUAAUAUAAGGGUAGAUCAAAAGUUUCAGAUAUGUAUGAGAAAAGCCAGAUUAUAUUUUUAAAUGCUAUAUGUACUCUACAUCUCUUUCAUAAUGGAAUAGGAGAAAGAUGUCCUGAAAAAACUGGCAACAGUGGAUAGCCUCAGAGUUCUAAAUUAAUCAAAAUAUCUCAGGUUUCUUUCAUUCACAUAAUCUUUCUUCUGUGCUUAUGAUCUCAGUGGGGUUUCUUGGAUUCUGAGAUAAUGUGCCCCUUUGCUAUCUAGAAUGUGUAUGCCAUAGAAAUACUGGAUAGAGGUAGGAUCAGCAGCUAAUCUAUGAGAAAUUUUGUAUGAUUAGACACAAAAAAUUGAAUGCUUAUCCUACCGUCCAGUAAAAAAUAUUUUUCGGUGUCCCCAAAAAUAGCAAUUUAUUAAUGGAAAAAUAUAAUUUUAUCACUACCACUUUUUAAUGCUACAAGUUUCUCCAGGAGCAAAGGAUAAGAAGAAAAAGAGAAAUUUUAAUAAGUUAUUAUUAUUAUUAUUUUUGAGACAGUCUCGCUCUCUUGCCCAGGCUGGAGUGCAGUGGCUCCAUCUCAGCUCACUGCAACCUCCGCCUCCCGGGUUCAAACAGUUCUCCUGCCUCAGCCUCCCAAGUAGCUGGGAAUACAGGUGCACACUGCCACAACUGGUUAAUUUUUUUUUUUUUUUUGAGGUGAAGUUUCAUUCUUGUUGCCCAGGCUGGAGUGCAAUGGCGCGAUCUCAGCUCACCACAACCUCCGCCUCCCGGGUUCAAGCAGUUCUCCUGACUCAGCCUCCUGAGUAGCUGGGAUUACAGGCACCUGCCACCACGCCUGGCUAAUUUUGUAUUUUUAGUAGAGAUGGGGUUUCUCCAUGUUGGCCAGGCUGGUCUCAAACUCCUGACCUCAGGUGAUCUGCCCACCUCGGCCUCCCAAAGUGCUGGGAUUACAGGUGUGAGCCACCGCGCCUGGCCACACCUGGCUAAUUUUUUGUAUUUUAGUAGAGAUAGGGUUUCACUGUGUUGCCCAGGCUGUUCUCGAACUCCUGAGCUCAGGCAGUCCGCCCGCCUCGGCCUCCCAAAGUGCUGGGAUUAUAGGCGUGAGCCACCACACCCGGCCAAUAAGGUAUUAUAAUGGCAGAAUGUGGUUGAAGUGAAUCCAAAUAAGGAUAAUAAUAGUUCCUACUUCACAGUAAAGUUUUGAAGAUUAAAUCAGAUAACAUGUCAAAUAUUUAAUACUUUGCUGCUAUUCUUACUGUGUGAAUAUGUACAAUAUGAUACCUGUUUGUAGGCAGCUGAUAUUUUGUGUUACUGUUUGCAUUAAUUUAACAUUAAUGGGUAAAG
rnacentral:lncRNA from 1 species